rnacentral:rRNA from 1 species
GACGCACGCUGGCGGCGUGCCUAAUACAUGCAAGUAGAACGAGUUGCGAACGGGUGAGUAACGCGUGGUAACCUGCCUCAUAGCGGGGGAUAACUAUUGGAAACGCUAGCUAAUACCGCAUACCCUCGGAUGUUCCCAGAUGGGAUAAGCUAGUAGGUGGGGUAACGGCUCACCUAGGCGCCGAUCCCUAGCUGGGCUGAGAGGAUGACCAUCCACACUGGAACGGAGACACGGUCCAGACUCCUACGGGAGGCAGCAGUGGGGAAUAGUGCACAAUGGGCGCAAGCCUGAUGCAGCCAUGCCGCGUGUAGGAAGAAGGCCUUCGGGUUGUAAAGUACUUUCAGCGAGGAGGCGUUACUCGCAGAAGAAGCACCGGCUAACUCCGUGCCAGCAGCCGCGGUAAUAC